rnacentral:rRNA from 1 species
AUUGAACGCCGGCGGCAGGCCUAACACAUGCAAGUCGAGCGGGGUUUUCGGACCUAGCGGCGGACGGGUGAGUAAUGCGUAGGAAGCUACCCGAUAGAGGGGGAUACCAGUUGGAAACGACUGUUAAUACCGCAUAAUGUCUACGGACCAAAGUGUGGGACCUUCGGGCCACAUGCUAUCGGAUGCGCCUACGUUGGAUUAGCUAGUUGGUGAGGUAAUGGCUCACCAAGGCGACGAUCCCUAGCUGGUUUGAGAGGAUGAUCAGCCACACUGGAACUGAGACGCGGUCCAGACUCCUACGGGAGGCAGCAGUGGGGAAUAUUGGACAAUGGGCGCAAGCCUGAUCCAGCCAUGCCGCGUGUGUGAAGAAGGCCUUCGGGUUGUAAAGCACUUUCAGUAGGGAGGAAGCGUUGUGUGUUAAUAGUACACAGCGUUGACGUUACCUACAGAAGAAGCACCGGCUAACUCUGUGCCAGCCGCCGCGGUAAGAC